rnacentral:lncRNA from 1 species
CCCAAAACCAAAACAAACAACAACCCCCCCCCCCCAAAAUCACCACCACCACUGGAGACAAAAAUUCUUCCUGGGGUCUGAGCUUGCUGCUCUGUUGGUAGAGUGCUACCUUAGCUCACAUAAAGUCCCCGGCUCAAGCCCAGUAUACACCAGACAAGGUAGUGCACAACGUAAUUCCAGCCCUUGGGAGGUGGAGGCAGAAAGACCAGAAGAAGUUUGAGGUCAUUCUUGCCUACAUGCACCAGACCUGGUCUCAAACAAUGGGAGGAGACAGCAUAGAAAGAUAAGGAAAUUAAGGGGCCGUAGGAAGGGAACAGAAGGGAGUCCUUUAUGCUGGAGUCUGCUUGGAGUCCCUUGCCAGCUGAGAACUAAGUUCCAGUGCAAUCCACGAAACUUGUGGAGACCCAAGACCAGAGGAAAAUCAGCAGCCGGAGUCCAGCUGCCACCCUUAGCAAAUGAACUUGGUUGUUUUCACGAAGGUCCUGCCUCCACGUUCCUGUCCUGAGUUCCUGCCUUGAAUGCCCUCAGUGACGGAGUGUGGCCUGAGAGUUGUAAGAUAAAAUGAAUCCUUU